rnacentral:rRNA from 1 species
ACGGGUGAGUAACACGUGAGCAACCUGCCCCUGACUCUGGGAUAAGCGCUGGAAACGGUGUCUAAUACUGGAUAUGUCCCAUCACCGCAUGGUGUGUGGGUGGAAAGAUUUUUCGGUUGGGGAUGGGCUCGCGGCCUAUCAGCUUGUUGGUGAGGUAAUGGCUCACCAAGGCGUCGACGGGUAGCCGGCCUGAGAGGGUGACCGGCCACACUGGGACUGAGACACGGCCCACACUCCUACGGGAGGCAGCAGUGGGGAAUAUUGCACAAUGGGCGCAAGCCUGAUGCAGCAACGCCGCGUGAGGGAUGACGGCCUUCGGGUUGUAAACCUCUUUUAGCAGGGAAGAAGCGAGAGUGACGGUACCUGCAGAAAAAGCACCGGCUAACUACGUGCCAGCAGCCGCGGUAAUACGUAGGGUGCAAGCGUUAUCCGGAAUUAUUGGGCGUAAAGAGCUCGUAGGCGGUUUGUCGCGUCUGCUGUGAAAUUCCGAGGCUCAACCUCGGGCUUGCAGUGGGUACGGGCAGACUAGAGUGCGGUAGGGGAGAUUGGAAUUCCUGGUGUAGCGGUGGAAUGCGCAGA